AAGAAAAAUCGUUGAAUCGUGAGAAAAAUCUGUGCUUUGCUACAGAUUUUUCUCCCGAUUUUGUGAAUCGCAAGGCGCUGACGCGAUUACUCACGACAGGUUAUUUACAUACAGCGAGCAAAAUCGGCCCGACAAAUCGCAGCGUGUAAACGUACCUUAAUGUCACUUGCAAUUGUUACCUACAUCCCAUAUGGAAUUUUGGUUUCCAAUUCAGGGAUGGAUUAACGAAGUUUUUUUAGGAGUUUAUAUCAUUAAGCUUUGUACAGCUUACAGCUAUAUGCAUCUAUGCGGCAAUAUCGCAAUAGUUAUUGGCCAUGAUGAUAACUCCAUCACGACUCAGCUUUUACUUUCAAUAUGAUAAUCUUGAGUACAAUCAUCGCGUAACAUUGAUAAUAUCAAAAUAUUGCCCAACCCUAUUUACUGGUG